rnacentral:misc_RNA from 1 species
GAGGUUGACAGCACUUGGAAAACUUUUAACGAGGUACAAAAGUUACUAAGCAAAACCAAUGGGAAGGUUGUUGGUGACUUAAUGACGCCGGCCCCAGUUGUUGUUCAUGAAACCACUAAUCUUGAGGAUGCUGCAAGAUUGUUGCUGGAAACAAAAUAUCUUAGACUUCCAGUUGUUGAUUCUGAGGGCAAGCUGGUAAAGCUGGUUGGAAUUAUCACAAGAGGAAAUGUUGUAAGAGCUGCCCUUCAGAUAAAACAUGACACUGAAGGGAAAGCAUAAUAUUGAAAUAGUGUGCAAAGAGCUUGAGUACACAAAAUGGCAAACUGGAUCAAUUUGCUUCCUUGAGCUGGUUCAAGUUCAACAAAGAAGACGUUGGAAAUGGCGGCUACGUUAUUUUUGGCUUACGCUGUACCUCUUUUUUAGCUGUUCCUAGUAGUUACUAGUAGGAUAGGGGACCAAUAAUUGUUGUUGAUCCCUGUAU